rnacentral:lncRNA from 1 species
UUUGCUUCUCGGGUUUCCUCCAGAAGCUUCUCAUCUCUCUCUCUCCUUCUCACUGUUCAUCUUCAUCUUCUCUGGUUUUCUCCUUCAAAUCUCCAUGUUUUCAUGGUAUCAGAGCAGGAAAAUCUUUUGAUCCUUCCCUGUUAUGUGUUAUCGAUGCUUGAUGAAACUUCCACUGAAGUUUUUCUUCGAUUAUCUGAGAAAAAUAUUUUUUUUUCGAUGAACGGGGAAAUCAUCCGAUCCUUCCCUGUUAUGUGUUAUCGAUGCUUGAUGAAACUUUCGCUGAAGUUUUUCUUCGAUUAUCUGAGAAAAAUAUUUUUUUCAAUGAAUGUUAAUCGGUUAAUCGGGACUUUUAUGUCUGUUUGAGGCACCGAUCCUGUAUAAGUAGAUGUUUUGGGUGAUUUUCCGACAUCUCUGACUUCGUUCCGACGAGUUCUUCAAAUUCUAGGGUUUUCCGACUUUCGGACCUAGAGUUUUGGUGUUAUCCGAUGACUUUUUCUUCGCUUGGUGGAAGUUUUGGGUGAUUUUUCCGAUGUCUAUGACCUUACUCCGGUGAGUUUCAGAACCUAGGGUUUCCGGUGUUGGACCUAGGGUUUUCUUUGAUUGAUUGAAGGCCGAUCUUCUCCGCUCGCGAAGAAGGAGGGUGGGUGAUUUCCGACGUCUGUGACCUUACUCCGGUGAGUUUCAGAACCUAGGGUUUCCUGUGUUGGACCUAGGGUUUUCUUUGAUUGAUUGAAGGCCGAUCUUCUCCGGUCGCGAAGAAGGAGGGUAACUCUGUCCUUAUUUUGACUAUUGUAUGCUUUGUAUGUGAUUAUCUGGUUCUAUAUGUGAGUAUCUGGUUCUGUUAUAUUUU